rnacentral:rRNA from 1 species
GACGAACGCUGGCGGCGUGCUUAACACAUGCAAGUCGUACGGUAAGGCCCUUUCGGGGGUACACAAGUGGCGAACGGGUGAGUAACACGUGAGUAACCUGCCCACAACUUUGGGAUAACGCUAGGAAACUGGUGCUAAUACUGGAUAUGUGCCCCUGCUGCAUGGUGGGGGUUGGAAAGCUCCGGCGGUUGUGGAUGGACUCGCGGCCUAUCAGCUUGUUGGUGGGGUAGUGGCCUACCAAGGCGGCGACGGGUAGCCGGCCUGAGAGGGUGACCGGCCACAUUGGGACUGAGAUACGGCCCAGACUCCUACGGGAGGCAGCAGUGGGGAAUAUUGCACAAUGGGCGCAAGCCCGAUGCAGCAACGCCGCGUGCGGGAUGACGGCCUUCGGGUUGUAAACCGCUUUCAGCAGGGACGAAGCUUUUUGUGACGGUACCUGCAGAAGAAGCACCGGCUAACUACGUG